rnacentral:pre_miRNA from 9 species
UAAAGUUAAAGCUAAAGUUAACUCAAAUUUGUAUGGAGUUGGAACGUUUGCCUACGUUUGGCGCUAGGGGUGCUGUUCCAACUGCAUUCAAAUUUGAGUUAACUUUUACGAUAUCGA